UAUAUUAUAAUAUAUUGAAUUUCUAUAUAAAGAUAAAAUAUAAAAUAAAUAAUAUUUAAUACAUUAAUGAUAAUAAAAAUGAAUGUUUUAUUAUAUUUCAUAUUUAUUGUAUUUUAUUUUUCGUUUUGAAUCAUUGUAUUGAAACAUUACAUUGAAUUACGUGAACUGAAUUAUUAUAAUUAAAUUUAAUCUUAAAUAUAUAAGAAUUAAAGAGAUAUUAGUAUAUCAAUAUAAAUAAUUUCUAAUAACUGAUGAUAGUUAUACAAUUUUAUUUAAUAUUCAAUAUUUUUUACUAUUUGAAUAGUAUAUAUGAAUAGUAUAGAUUAUAAUAUAAUUUUGAUCAUUUUAUAUUCUUAUAAUCAAUGAAUCUCUUAAAUAAAUACCAAAAUAUUAAUCAUUUAAUAGUUUAUAAAAAAUAAUAAAUUUUAAGUCAAAGUGCAAAUUAAAAAAUGUUAAAAAUAAAUAUGAUAAAAAAAAUUAAAAAAAGUUUAAUAUAAAUGAAUCAUAGAUGAUCAAAUUUAAAACAUAUUAAAUAGUAUAUAUAUAGCAUGUAUAAAUAAAUGUUCAAAGUACAUUAUACAAAUUCAUAUUUGGAAAAUAAUAUAUGAUAUAAACUAUAGAAACAUAUGUAACGUAUUGAAAUAUCUUGCAAUAUUAUAAUUAAUGUAUAUAUCACAUUUUAUUCUUAAACUAUCACCUUUAAGUCGCGGAGAUCUUUAGGGUUGUGUAUGUAUAUCUCUCUUCAUCCCGUUACAUGCAAAUUAAACGUUUUACAUUUUUUAUUAAUUUGUGAUGUUAAAAAUUUUAAGUAUAUUAUAUAAAUGAUUUAAAAUUUGAUAUAUAAUAUAAUAAUAAAUAUGAAAAUAAUAAUAAAAAAUGAAAAAAUGUUAGUUAGAUGAUAAACGGUGGCGCCGUAGGAACCACCAAUAAACGGUCCUGAGCUGUGUAGACCUCCGUCCCCCGCGACGCUACGUCGUCGGUCGGUUCGGUUGCUCGCUCGUUCUCGUUCGUUUUCACCCCACUCCAACUCAUACGUCCCCGGUCCCUUAUGACCCCACCUGCCCCGUAUCCAGAAACUUUACCCUCACCCCGCUACAUUCAGUCCCUCCCCCCGAUCCUCUCUCUGAUUCCGCCUUGCCUGCUGCCAGCCAGCCGUCCGUCCUUACGUCCGUCCGUCCACCGUUUGGAUCUAUGGUUGUGUCGGUGGAUUUCGUGACGUUAACCUGGCGGCCCUGAAAACGUUGGACUGACCGUACGAUUUUGACUACCCUUCUCGUUAGGGCGCGAAUGUAAAACGCGAGUGUUUUUUAAUCAUCGCAGCCACCGCACUGGAAUAUAUCAUAGACUAGUUCGGGAAUACUGCCGGGACUAUUGCCGUUGCUGCCAUUAUCACUACACAAAAAUAUAAGAAGAAUGAUAUCCAAAGAUAAAAUGCUUCUAUAGAUGAAAUAAUUUGCACAACAAUAUAAAAAGAUUAGGAAGAAACAGAAUUAUUAAUUUCAAAUAUGUAUUAGAAAGCCUGUAUUAAAAAACGAAUGGAAACGAAACGAAAUAAAUACAUAAAGAAAGCAGAAGAAGAUUAAUGAUAGUGAAAGAAACAAUAGAAUGAUAUAUACUUUAAGAAGAAAAGAAUAUUGAUUUGAAUAUUUUUCGCACGACCAGUUUUGUGAUGAUUCGCAAAUGUGCGUAUGUGUGUACGUGAUUGUGUAUACGUAAAACUGUGCGCGUAUGUUUCUCGUUCUGCCAUCUUGAAAGUCAUCCAAUUUCUUUCUCUUGGUGGCGCUGGCUCACGUGUGCGGGAAGCGUGCACGGUGCGUGCAUCGUACACGCACUGUGCUAAGUUGCUAUAAGCGAAGAAAUCUCGCUUCGAGAAUAACUGCAAAAUAAAGAUUUGUCGAUAGCAUAUAGUAAAACUGCGCGAUGAAAGCGAGUUUGUCGAUAAAUUUAUUUCUUUGUGGGAGUGACAAAAAGUGUCCUAACAAUAUUAAUAGUGAGAGCAGUAUCAAUAGUAACAACAAUCUCGACAACAGUACACAUGACAUUAGUAACAGUAAGAAAAACGAAUAUGACAAUGGUUUUAACGGCAACAAGAAAUCACAAGUGGAAUAUAAUGUGCAAGUUAAGUGUAAGCCAUAUGGCAAUGAUGAGCAGUUGCAUUUCUGUGAGGUGUAUUCGUACUGAUUGUGAGUGCUAGUAGAGAAAGAGAAAGCGGGAGACAGAAAGAUAGAAGCCACCAAGACUCUCGUGGAGAGCGGGGCACUGAAAGAUAUGCGGACCUUUGUGCGAACAGCUGAAGCGGAAGUUGUGAGAACAAGUGGAGUGCAACGCGCUCCACCUAAUCGGUGAUAGGGUCAGUCGGUUAAAAGAAGACAAAAUUGGCGUUCACAGCGACGGCAACGCGGCAUCUUUCGCGAUCACCUUUUCCUCAUCCCUUCCUUUUUCCUACUUCAUUUUGUUUCACUUCGUUUCCUCUCUCUUUUUCUCAAACUCUGACGCAAUUCAUUCGUUUAUUUUAUAUAUUUUUCUUCUCUUAGUUAUCGAUAGAGAAAAAAAAAUCUCGUCUUUUAUUUCGAUUGAAACUUUUGUAUAAUGAUACGCAAUUAAAAUGUUGGAAGAAUAAUGCAAAUGAGAAUUCGUCGUAUAGAAGCCGCGUCGCGUUUUCUUACAAUAAUAAAGGUAUACUUUCCUAAAUACAUGUAUAUAUUAAGACAAUUGGUGCUUAAAUCAUGAAAUUUGUUCCUUCGAUAUAUGUAUUGUCUGUGUAAAUUGUAGUUACAUUUGUAUAAUUAAAUUUGUAGCAUGCCUUUAAGUUUGAACAAUGAUUGUGAGAAUAUAAAUAUACUUGAAAUAUUUAAAAAAAAUAGAAAAUAUGCUUCGAGAAAAAAUUUAUGAGAAAAAUUUAUUCAAACUUCUAGCCAUAUUUUAUGCAUGGAAUAAAUUUAAUCCGAUAUACAGUUUUAUUAGAAGUUUUACUUUAAAUUUUAUGUGAUUUUGACAAUCCAAAUUCUCCUUUUUUAUAUUUUUAGAAUUGUAACAAAAAUUAUACACAGAAAUUAAUCGCGUAUAUUUUUACACGCGCAAAAUGUAACUCCUUAUGUAUUAUCCACAUUCAGUUCCGUGGGAAGAUUUAAAUAUCAGAUACUAAUUUUAAAUUUCUCCGACUGUUAUCUAUAGAAAUCGUCGCUGGAGCAACAGCGGAAGAAAGAAAUUUGAAAAAUCGGUUAAAUUAUGUUCCAAGUGUAUAAUAUCGAGUGAUAUGGAACGCAUGAAAGUGUACGUAAGCUAGCAAGAAGAUAAAAA